GAAGCAUACUUACAUAUGGGAUCUCCUGCAACAGCUAGGUCUGAUGGUUCACUGGGAGAGCCAACUCCUGCAGCAUUUAUUGCCAUCGCUCUGAACUGGUAUUUAACACCUUCAAUCAAACGGGGAACAUUAAAUUCCACGCCUUUCAAUCCCACUUUGGUUAUCGGUGCUCGGCUAACACGUGACCAGUAGGCACCUCCCUCUUCUCUCUUCUCCAGCCAGUAGCCAGUAAUUGGAGAGCCGCCGUUGUCCAGAGGAGGAGUCCAGCUCACUAGCAUCGACCCUUUGGUGCGCUCCAAGACUGUUGGCUUUCCCGGAGGUCCAGGAGUGCGAUAAGGAUCUUGAAUGACCACUUUAUCUGAUUUGCAUUCAUCGCUGGUUCCAUAUUUAUUCACUGCCCUAACUCGGAACUCAUACUGACCAUUGGGGAUAAGUUUCCAGAGCUAGAAAUCAGAUGAACAAUAAUUUCUUAAAAACAAUAUACUUACAUUGAUUUUCACUUGUUUUAAAAUUCCAGUUAUUUUGGUAGGGAAGACUGUAAAAAGAAAUACUUCUAUAAACUCAGUUAUCUGAGUUUCUCCACUCAAACAUGGAGAAAGUCAUUUAAAAUGAGAAUGUGUAAAUUUAUUGCACCUAAUAGUGGCUCUCUCAAGUAAAAGAGGAUCUGUAUAUCAAAGUAUUUACUAAGUGGCUUUAUGUGCAAGAUGCUAAAAACUAUACUUAAGCUUUUUGUGUGUGGUUUUGAGUUUAAUCAUUAAAUUCCAAGGUCAUGCUAGAAUGAUGUUAAUUCAGGGUUAUGUCCUUUAAGUGUGCAUAAGAAAAUACUUAGAAGAGUUUACCCCAUAUCUCCUCUCUACAGCAGUGUUGGUGACUUCUUCCCAUUCAGCUUUCUUCCUGCUUGCAUCGCGUUUGUCAAUGACAUAAUGGGUGAUUUCACCCCCACCAUUGUCUAGAGGGGCAUCCCACGUUAAGUGGCAAGAUUCAGCUUUAAUGUCAACAACAGCAAGAUUUCUUGGUGGGGAUGGACGAUCUGAAAAGGAACCAAAGGAGGAGAUUGAGAAGCAAAUUCUUAGACACUGGAUUUCUUUUUUUUAUAAGAAAGCGUGUCACUUACCGAAUACUUCGACAUGGACAUUUCGGAACACUGAGCCAAGGCGAUUAGAGGCAGUCACCGUAUUCAACACCUUCAUCAUCUUGUAUGACCACAUUGAGAGGCAGGGAUGGUUCGCUUUCACCAAUUUCGUUGACGGCCUUGACACGGAA
rnacentral:lncRNA from 1 species